rnacentral:misc_RNA from 1 species
UUUCCGUAGGUGAACCUGCGGAAGGAUCAUUAUUGUAUAACCGAGGUGCGAGGGCUGUCGCUGACCCGAAAGGUCAUGCACGCCCCAGUGCCCUCACACACAUCCAUCUCACCCCUAUGUGCACCACCGCGUGGGUCCCCCUUUGGCUUGUUCGGAGGGGGGCUUACGUGUUCACACAAACUUUGUAUGCAGUGUAGAAUGUAUUUUUUGUUUUUGCGAUCACGCAAUCAAUACAACUUUCAACAACGGAUCUCUUGGCUCUC